GUGGGGAAUAUUCCGCAAUGGACGAAAGUCUGACGGAGCAACGCCGCGUGAGUGAUGAAGGUUUUCGGACUGUAAAGCUCUGUUGUUUAGGACGAAAGUGCCUGUUGCGAACAGUUACAGGUAUUGACGGUACUAAACGAGGAAGCCACGGCUAACUACGUGCCAGCAGCCGCGGUAAUACGUAGGUGGCAAGCGUUGUCCGGAAUUAUUGGGCGUAAAGAGCAUGUAGGCGGAGAUUUAAGUCUGUUGUGAAAAUGCGGGGCUCAACCCCGUAUUGCGAUGGAAACUGAAUUUCUUGAGUGCAGGAGAGGAAAGGGGAAUUCCCAGUGUAGCGGUGAAAUGCGUAGAUAUUGGGAGGAACACCAGUGGCGAAGGCGCCUUUCUGGACUGUGUCUGACGCUGAGAUGCGAAAGCCAGGAUAGCGAACGGGAUUAGAAACCCCGGUAGUCC
rnacentral:rRNA from 1 species